UACGAAGGGGGCUAGCGUUGCUCGGAAUCACUGGGCGUAAAGGGUGCGUAGGCGGGUCUUUUAAGUCAGGGGUGAAAUCCUGGAGCUCAACUCCAGAACUGCCUUUGAUACUGAAGAUCUUGAGUUCGGGAGAGGUGAGUGGAACUGCGAGUGUAGAGGUGAAAUUCGUAGAUAUUGGGAAGAACACCGGUGGCGAAGGCGGCUCUCUGGACCGAGACUGACGCUGAGGCGCGAAAGCGUGGGGAGCAAACAGG
rnacentral:rRNA from 1 species